AUAUCGGUAGUUUAACAAAAAACAACAAACCUCGAACUUGAAAAUAUAGAAUUUCUAUCCGAUACA
rnacentral:tRNA from 1 species